rnacentral:lncRNA from 1 species
CAAGGGACGGUAAGACGAAACCAGGCAUGGUGAUGCCUGCUUGUAAUCCCAGCACUUGGGAGGGAUCAGGAGUUCAAGGCCAGCAUCAUCUGUAAAAAUGAGCUCAAGGUCUAGCCUGAGAGCUGGGAGCUGAACCUAGGGCCUCACACACUCAAGGAAAGUGGUUCACCACUGCGACAUCUAUCACCCUGUGACACUUAUGCUGCCAAUCUGAGCUUUCUGAACUCCAGCCUUCUUUCUUUCUACUUGGGAUAAGAGCUCAUGUCUCCCACGAUAGUCAAAUUCACUAUGUGGCAGAAGAUGACCUUGAACUCCUGAUCGUGCCUCCAUCUCUCGAGUGCUGGGAUCACAGAGCAAAAGCAUCCCUGAGAAUAGCUGAGUGGCUGACUGUCUGUGUUCCUACACUGAGUUCAAGACCAUUGAAACCUCUGGCGGGCUUUUAAGAGCAAGCACUACGCACGCAAAGACAGUGAAAUACUGCCGAGGGUCUAGAGGGGUGGGGUCCAUCAUGACUCUUGUGACUGAAUUAGAUCCUGUGGCUGGGAAAACACUUGGUUCCUUCUUAAGCUGCCUUGGAGAGAGGGCUUAGACUCAAGACCACAAGACUUGUUUCUUUCUCCAUGAACUGAGCUUUCCCCUUGGACAGGUGUCUGGAGACUGCCUGACCUGACCCUGCACAAAGAAGAGAAGGG